GAUGAAGAACGUAGCGAAAUGCGAUAAGUAAUGCGAAUUGCAGAAUUUCCGUGAAUCAUCGAAUCUUUGAACGCACAUUGCGCCCUUUGGUAUUCCUUAGGGCAUGCCUGUUCGAGCGUCAUUUAAACCUUCAAGCCCUGCUUGGUGUUGGGUGCCUGUCCCGCCCCCGCGCGUGGACUCACCUCAAAUCCAUUGGCGGCCCCCGCAAGGCCACGAGCGCAGCAGAAACGCAAACUCGUGUGCCCGGCGGGCGGCUCCCAGAAGCUACACCCACCAGUUUGACCUCGGAUCAGGUAGGGAUACCCGCUGAACUUAAGCAUAUCAAUAAGCGGAGGA
rnacentral:misc_RNA from 1 species